AUCUGGUUCAUCGGCGGCGCAGGACGCACGGCGCAGUCUGCAGCCUGUGUGUCCCCAUUGAACCGAGCUGGAUGGCCGGCGAGAGAAAGGCAGAGAGGGGGGAACAACUCUUUCAAUGGCCCGGUAGUCGCUCUCGGAGAUUGUCUCCCAACAUAUUCAACAUGACGACCUUUUCCGCUUCUCAGCCUACGAAUAUUAUCGCUUUGUGUUUUUUUUAUUUUCUGCUCUCACUGGCUCCAGACACAUAAUAGAGGACAAGCAACCGUCUAGGAAAUAUAAAGCCCGCGGACUUGGAGUUGGACACCCCGGAGGAAGAGAUCAUCCAACUUGAACUUGACACCUAUCGGGCAACAGAAGACACAGAGGAUGUGGAACCACCAGGCCUCAGAUGCUGCGAGGCAGAGAGGAUAUGUGGACAUACUGUGUGCAGCUACCGGAGGAUCCAGCACAAUGAAACGGCGGAGAUUUCGGCGCUUUACCCCGGAUAGCUGAUGGCUGUGGUGUGUGUGCCAGCUGCCUCAAAGACUCAGUGGGCUCAUUAUUUGGGAAUGACUUUUAUAUUUCCUGGUCAGACGUCAAUAUCAAGGAAGAGGAAACCUGAGAGGAGGCGAGCUGACAGACCUGAAGCCGCUGCUGCAGAGAGGAGGUGACCUGUCAAGCACAAGUGACACACAGGAAGUAUUUUGACGGCAUACUUCGUUCUGCAACAAUUAAAGCAUGAAGAAAUAAUACGUCACUCAGCACUACUCUAACAUCAAAUUCUACAUUAAAAGAGUAUUGAUAACAAACGGAUGAAUUUCAUAAAUACAAUGAACCCUACUCAGCAAAAGAAAGAUUAUUCGAUAAGAUGAUUAAGUUUUUUGUGUCUUAAUUGGCUUUUACAACAGUUGAAAGUCAAAAAGAAAUGUUUUACAUUGAAAUGUAGCAACGUAAUUCAACCAUAUCUCCCGACCAAGCAUAUCUGUUUUAUAUGGUCAUGGUGUCAUAGCUUAAAAGAUAAUUAGGUUGCUGUGGCUUUUGAUAGAAUAUAGAUUUAUACAUUUCUUCACUUGCUUUAUGAAUGAAAUAUCUACUCACAGUAUAUAGAAUGCAUUAAUACCAAUAAUACAAAAAUGAUAUAUGAGCAUGGAAGUUCAGGCUGUGUGUGUAAGACAAAAUCAUCUCAAUUCAAAGGUCCACUUACUCACUUUUUCUGACUUUUUAACUGUUUCUUAUGGCCUUGAUUAGUGAAUAUAUAUUUAAUUUUUCAGUGCCCAGAAAACAGUAGGUGUCAGUAUUGUUUUCUGACAUCAGUGUUAGAAUUACACACAUCAUAUAUAAUAACUCAUUUAUAAACACACACUUUGCAUUUGAGAUUUUGUUUGCUGUGUCUUUCCCUGGUUUGUGGCGUUGGGCUGCCGUUCCCCACAGGUCGACCGUCGACCAGAGACCCCUGCAGGAGAUAAACUGUCCUUUGGGGUGAGGUAGUAGGUUGUAUAGUUUUAGGGUCAUUCCCAAGCUGUCAGAUGACUAUACAACUUACUGUCUUUCCUGAAGCGACUGUGCUGACAUCACAAUCGCCACUGUCACGAAGGAGAAUGUGACUUCACUGCAAAUGUUUAUUUUCCCCUUUUAAAUGUGGACUUGUCUCCUACUCAAACAAUGCACUCCUUUCAUAGAAUCAGUGAGGAGCAAUACAACCUUGUGAUUUGUUUUAUUAAAGUUAGACAGAGAGGAGGCGAUACUGAGGAGAGGCUGGUAAGUUAGAGAGAAAUGAUAGAAAUCAUCUUUUCAGACAAAUUAGAUGUUGAUGUUUAAAAAAUAAAUGCUGCAACAAGAUUUUUCUUGCAUGGACAUUGAGUAGGUUAUCCAUUUCAAUUACCUGAUGUUCAUUAGUGUGUAUUUCUGAAAUACAGACAUUUUUUUGAAUUUUAAACAGAACUUUUGAGCCUUUUAAGCCACUAAAAUGUAAAUUUAGGAGUCUCUUACUGCAGUUAUGCUUAUUAUAAUUCCAAAUGCCUCAACAUGCCUCCAUUAGCUAAUAUUUGAAUACUGGUUUUAACUCUUAAUGUUGUCAUCUAAAACCUUGGUGUGUCCUCUGUGAUAACAACACGGCAGCUCUGUCUUCAUUUACACAGUGAUCACACGUGACCUCCUCACAAACCCUCACAUCCCGAUCCUCCUCCCUACCCACCUGGGUGACUUAUGGUGUUCGUACAGGGUGAGGUAGUAGGUUGUGUGGUUUCAGGGUUGUGAUUUUACCCCAUCAGGAGCUAACUAUACAACCUACUGCCUUCCCUGGAGGGCAGCAAUACAUCACAGGAGCACACGUGGCCUUGUUACCAUUCUGCUUAGGAGAAAACUGACAUCUCAUGACUCUUGUUUAUUAAGCUCAACAGAGGACUGGCAUUUAAUUUGAAAGGUUUCAUUGAGGCGGUGAGUAGUGUUGGAUCACUACAUGCACUAGUCACUCAACAGUUACAGAUCAUUCAUGUUUUAACAUGUACUUUUUCAACAAUAAAGACUUUAUAAGAAAUAA